rnacentral:rRNA from 1 species
AAGAGUUUGAUCCUGGCUCAGGAUGAACGCUAGCUACAGGCUUAACACAUGCAAGUCGAGGGGAAACGGCAUUGAGUGCUUGCACUCUUUGGACGUCGACCGGCGCACGGGUGAGUAACGCGUAUCCAACCUUCCCAUUACUGUGGGAUAACCUGCCGAAAGGCAGACUAAUACCGCAUAGUCUUCGAUGACGGCAUCAGAUUUGAAGUAAAGAUUUAUCGGUAAUGGAUGGGGAUGCGUCUGAUUAGCUUGUUGGCGGGGUAACGGCCCACCAAGGCUACGAUCAGUAGGGGUUCUGAGAGGAAGGUCCCCCACAUUGGAACUGAGACACGGUCCAAACUCCUACGGGAGGCAGCAGUGAGGAAUAUUGGUCAAUGGGCGAGAGCCUGAACCAGUCAAGUAGCGUGCAGGAUGACGGCCCUAUGGGUUGUAAACUGCUUUUGUAUGGGGAUAAAGUCAGUCACGUGUGAUUGUUUGCAGGUACCAUACGAAUAAGGACCGGCUAAUUCCGUGCCAGCAGCCGCGGUAAUACGGAAGGUCCGGGCGUUAUCCGGAUUUAUUGGGUUUAAAGGGAGCGUAGGCUGGAGAUUAAGUGUGUUGUGAAAUGUAGACGCUCAACGUCUGACUUGCAGCGCAUACUGGUUUCCUUGAGUACGCACAACGUUGGCGGAAUUCGUCGUGUAGCGGUGAAAUGCUUAGA